rnacentral:rRNA from 1 species
AUUGAACGCUGGCGGAAUGCUUUACACAUGCAAGUCGAGCGGCAGCGCGGCCUUCGGGCUGGCGGCGAGCGGCGAACGGGUGAGUAAUGCAUCGGAACAUGCCCAGUCGUGGGGGAUAACACUUCGAAAGAAGUGCUAAUACCGCAUACGUCCUGAGGGGGAAAGCGGGGGAUCGCAAGACCUCGCGCGAUUGGAGGGGCCGAUGUCAGAUUAGCUAGUUGGUGGGGUAAAGGCCUACCAAGGCGACGAUCUGUAGCUGGUCUGAGAGGAUGAUCAGCCACACUGGGACUGAGACACGGCCCAGACUCCUACGGGAGGCAGCAGUGGGGAAUUUUGGACAAUGGGGGCAACCCUGAUCCAGCCAUUCCGCGUGAGUGAAGAAGGCCUUCGGGUUGUAAAGCUCUUUCGGCAGGAACGAAACGGUGGGCUCUAACAUAGUCCGCUAAUGACGGUACCUGAAGAAGAAGCACCGGCUAACUACGUG